rnacentral:rRNA from 1 species
UACGGAGGGUGCAAACGUUGCUCGGAAUUAUUGGGCGUAAAGCGCACGUAGGCGGCCGACUAAGUCGGGUGUGAAAGCCCAGGGCUCAACCCUGGAAGUGCACUCGAAACUGACCGGCUUGAAUAUGGAAGAGGGUCGCGGAAUUCCCGGUGGAGAGGUGAAAUUCGUAGAUAUCGGGAGGAACACCAGUGGCGAAGGCGGCGACCUGGGCCAAUAUUGACGCUGAGGUGCGAAAGCGUGGGGAGCAAACAGG